CACUCAGCUUUCUGAAAUGGUGUCCCACCGCAAGGACUGGAGAAGGGACUUUACUGAAGACUCUAAGGAGGACCUGUAUCUGUUGGGAUCCUUAGGGCAAGCCACAGAAACAAGCUUUGGAUACUAGAAGCAGAAAAUGGAGUUAUUGAAGACUAUUGUGGAGUUUACUGUGAGCCAGAGAACCAGGCUGGGUGGCUGUACCACUUAGAAUGAGAUCCAAACUCACACCAUAGUUCCAUCCUUGAGGUCGCCAUGUUGCUGCCACCCCUCCUGCCACCCCACCACUGAAGCUUUGGAUGCUGGAUUCUGGGCACAGCGGGGAGAAGUGUUGGUUAUUACCAUUUUAAUAUGUUUUCUUUCAAGACCUUUUCAAAAUAUACAUACGUAUUUUUAUUUCUAUUCAAAAUGGGAUACAUUUUUGAAGGUUAGCAAUAUAUUGUGAACAUUUUCUUUCCAUGCUCAGAAACAUUUUUCUAUAAUAUAAUUUAUAGUGAUAUAAACUAUCUCAUAGACCUACCAUAGUUUACCUAACAAAUCCCAAAUCAUUUGUGCCAUUUCUAAAUUUUUAUUAUCUUAUGUAAUGCUUUAAUGAACAUCCUUGCAUUUAUAUUUUAUACAAUUUUAGAAGUGGAAUUACUGGUUCAAAAUACAUGGUGAUUUUUAAUUCUU
rnacentral:lncRNA from 1 species